GACAGAGGCCCCGAGCGUUAGGCGGAAUCACUGGGCUUAAAGCGUGUGUAGGCGGAAUUGUAAGUACCUUGUGAAAUCCCACGGCUCAACCGUGGAACUGCUUGGUAUACUGCUUUUCUUGAGCCACUUAGGGGCUGUCGGAACAAACGGUGGAGCGGUGAAAUGCGUAGAUAUCGUAAGGAAGACCAGUGGCGAAGGCGGGUCUCUGGACAGUUCCUGACGCUGAGGCACGAAGGCCAGGGGAGCAAACGGG
rnacentral:rRNA from 1 species